ACAAACUAGAGUAUAGUAUACCUCUCUCAUUUAUUUAAACCAAACUACAAGUAGGGUAGUUGGAGUGAGACAAACUUAGAGAUUCAUAUUCUUAGCUUUUGCAACAUGGUUGCUUUGGUCGAAUUUCAAAACUUUUAAAGAUCAAUCCCGACUUCCAAUGUUGAUUGUGGUUAUACAUGCUAAACUCGUACUCCUUAGCAUUCAAACAACCAUGUUUAUCGCCAAUCUUGAAUUCCUCGACCUUGAUCGUAAACCAAACAUCUCGUGGCUUACAUUCUAGGCUUUCACUGUUCACAAAUUUUGUCCCAUUUGGCAAGGUGAGUCCAAAGUUAAUAGGUUCAUGCCAUCCCGAUGCACACGACUUUAACAAAAGAUGACAUAAUAGUUCAUAUGUAACGCCAGCUGAUAGCAUAUAUUCCUUGAUCCUUACACGUACAUCUAGCCAACGAACUUUUACAAGCUCAGCCACGUCAAUUUUCUUACUGCCAAAGUUUUUUUACACCAUCAUCAACAAAUAAACAACUUUUAAAAUAAUGACCGACUACUUAAAAAAAACUACUUAUUAUAUUUUUUAAACCUCGUAUUCAUCUCUAUGGUUUCACAAAAAGUUAAGUUCAAUUUAAUCUUGUCAAUUUUUAGAAAGUAGUUUCAUUAGUGAAACAUUUAUCAAAUCAUAGAGACUAAUUUAAUCUACUUUGUUCCGUAAAACCAUUUCACAAAAUUACACCCAAACAACCCUUUUAAUUUUGAUUAGUAAAUAAAUAAUGAAGAUUAAAGUUCAUUCAUUCAAACCUAAUCUAUCUCUUCUUUUGUGUUUUAUUUUUUCAUUUUUUUUAUCUCAGUAUAUACCUUCCAUAAUUCAUCAUUUCAUUUUUCAACACAUAAAAAAAAAGAAAAACAUAAAAAAAGAAAAAGAAAAAGAAAACCAAUUCAAAUUUUGUUCUCGUAAUUUAAAUUUUGUUUAAUUUUAAUAAACUACUUUCCAUAAUAAAUCUUAAAUGUAGCUUACAUGAAUAUGUGUUUUCUAAAUUUAUGGGAAAAUUAAUAUUGUUUAUACAUAACAAAGAGUUUAUUUAUUUAUGUAAAAUCAACCAUAAACUAACAAUAUGGAUUAAAACUUAUUGAAAGGAGAAAGAACUAAUAACCUGCUUUCAAAUAUAAUCAACUAAGUUAACUAACUUACAAAUAAAUAUAUAGCAAAUUAAAUCGAUGUAGACACUGACAAUAUAUAUAAGUGUAAAUUGUGACAUUUUAUUAUAUUAGAAAAUUGAUAUUUCAAAAUAUAGAAACGAAGACGAUAUUUAAUGCGGUUAGAAAAAAUAAGAAUACCCAAAAAUCUCGAUAGAUAUCCAUCUCCAGUACUGACAUUCAUUGAUCCAAGCUAUUGAGAUGGCUUUUGGAAAUAUGAAGUAGGCAUUACCCCUUCCCUUCCUAUGAAACCAAUAAAUCUGCAUACAAACUAAUCAUAAUCAACUCUUUAACAAAUUUUAAUUAAAGAUAAAUAAUAAUAAUAAUAACAAAAAAGAAAUUUCCAUAUCUUCUGUGUUUUAAGUUUAUUUCUAUGUAAAAAAAAUUGAACGCUAAUAUCAAGAUUUGUUCGAGAAUCAUUUUAAUAUUUGGUUCUAUACUUUUAACUAAGUAUUUUUUUUUCUAGUAAAUAUUUGGUUUGAUACUUGUAGAAAUAGUUUUGUUCCAUGUAUGAUCAAUUGAAAUAAUUUUUUCAAGGACUAAUGUUUUUUUGUUUUUAAUGUUAGUUGUAGAAUCAUCCAAUUACUAAAAGAAAUUUAGAUUAAAAACAAUUACAUGCAUAUGCAUGGAAGUUAAGAUUAUUAGAUGUAAAGAAGAAAUUUAGAAAUAGAACAAACACAAUUUUAGAAGAAAAGUGAUUUGAGACAAGUUGAAAUGAGUGAUUUUAGUCUUUACAAAAUCACUCAUAAUCAUAUCUUUUUAACUCUUUUUAUAAGUCCUUCUAAUAUCAACUAUAUAAUACUCUAAAAGAAAUUAAAAAUAAUGUUACACUUGCCUUAGAUCCAUUGUUGAGGGAAGUCCCAUCACAAAGUUGUUUAUAGAGCUCAGAGGGGGAGGGCCAGUGCACCUCAUGAUCUCCAGUUGUUGGCAAAAUAUAACUCAAGCAAUGACCAUAUUUCUCUUUUGUUUCCGAGUUCUCUCUUGCUUCAAGCUCUGAGGAAACCAUUUCAAGAGGUUAACUUGGAUAGUAAGAGAGUAGAGAUAUGGAUGAAGAUGAGAGUGGUGUAAAACGUGCACACACACGUAUAUAUAGGCUCUAUCUUGUUUCGUAUAAUAAUGUUUUAAAGAUGGGACGUGACAAUUAGCUAUUAUAAUGUCCCUUAUCUUUAGCUAUUUGAUAAUUUUAAAAAGCAACGAUUUAAUUAUGGUCAAAAUAAGAAUUACUCAAAGUGUUAUAAUACAUGCACUAGAAUUAAUUUCAAGAUUAAACUUUUGAUUCUCUUCACACCUCGUUUGUCUAUAGUAAAAAAAAAAAGAAAAAAAGUAAAUGAUUUAAUUCUCUAUAUCUCAUUUUUUUCCUCUCUCCUUCCCUAUUAGCUUUUUCUUUCACAUACAUGUACCUUUUUAUACAUUAAUUUAAAUUUAAAUAUUUUGAUUAAAUCUAUAAUUGAAUCCAUUACAUGAAAAUUAACUUCACAACAAUAUAUAGAAUUGACAUAAUUAAUUAUUUUAACCAAUUAUGUAGUAUUUAAUAAAAUUUAAUUAUGUAACAAUGUCUUGGCUUGACUGAUCCUCCCCUCAACAAAUGCCUCUUAUACUUGGUCCAACCUCAGAGUUUCUGUUCUCUGCAGACUUGACAUAUUCCUAUAUUCCUCGUCCGGGGAAAGCAAGUUUACCAAUCAUUUUAGCAAGCUUCUAUUUUGCUUGAAUCAAAGAACCUCAAAUGGGAUCUGGUUCCCUUCAGGAUCAACAAUUGUAUGCAGAAUGAAAAAGAGUUACUUAAUAAAGUGGUUAGUUGUUGGCCAAACACUGCACAAGAGAGAUAUCUUGGCUAUGCUUUCAUGCGAAGACUGAGACAAUUGACCAGAAAAAUCAAAAGUUGGCAGUUCGAGAAGAAAAAUGCAUCUAAAAGGGAUAGUGAAGCUUUCAAAUCUGAGAUAGACAAGAUUGACUUGCUGGAAGCCUAGAAUGCCCUUAUAUUUAUUUAUAGUGACCAAAGGAAAAUCUUAUAGACCGACCUUGCUGAUCUUAUUUUCAAAGAAUCUCAAUACUGAACUUAGAGAGCUAAAAAAAUGUGGCUGGAAGAAGGAGAAGAAAACACCAGCUUUUUUCAUAAGGUUUGCAAUGCCAGAAGGAGGAGGAAUUAAAUAUUCGAUAUUUACGAUAGCAUAGGCUCUUGUUCUAAUACGAAUGAUGGCAUUGAAAGAGCUUUUAUUGAUGACUACAACUCCAUCUACUCCUCCAACAAUAAUAAUCCUCCCUCUGUCAUUGAGAAUCUCAAUUGGCAACCUAUAGAUAAUUCUCAAUCCACUCACCUUAAAACUCCUUUUCCUUUGGAAGAAAUCAAAGAGGCACUUUCAUCUUUUCACAGUAAUAAAGCACUAGGGCCAGACAGAUACACUAUAGACUUUUUUUUAAAAAAAAAUUGAAACAUUUUCAAGCCAAAUAUAUUGGAAGUGUUCUAGGAUUUUUUUCAAAAAUGGUGUGAUAAACAAAAAUAUGAAUGAAACAUAUAUCUCUCUAAUUGCCAAGAAAGAUAAAUGUAGGACUGAUGCAGAUUAUAGGCCUAUCAAUCUUACUACCUCCGUAUACAAGAUUCUUGCCAAGACUUUAGCCACAAGAGUGAAACUAUUAUUGCCUCAUACUAUAUCGAGCCAUCAAAUGGCCUUUAUUGACGAAAGAUAAAUUACUGAUGCAAUCUUAAUUACUAAUGAAGUCAUUGAUUUCUGGAAACGCAAGAAGAUAAAAGGCCUGAUCUUCAAGCUUGAUAAUGAAAAAGCUUUCGACAAGAUCAAGUGCAACUUCACUAUGCCUUGAUGAAAAAAAAAAAUCGGAUAUAUGGAGAAGAUGGAUGCAAUCCUUCAUUCCAACGGCUCAAUCUAUAUUUUGAUAAAUGGUAAACCAAGGGGGAGGAUCAUUCCUGAAAGAGGCAUCAGGCAAGGAGAUCCCAUUUCUCCCUUCAUAUUCGUGAUAGCUAUGGACUACCUCAGUAGAAUACUACAACACCUCGAACAAUCAAAUAUGCUUACAAGUAUAUCCAUCAAAGAUUUCAAUCUUACUCAUCUUCUCUUUGUAGAUGGUAUCUUGCUCUUUGUUGAGGAUAAAGAUGAAAAUAUAUAAACAUCCAAUAUGCUAUACACCUUUUUAAGGCGGCAACUGGUCUAAAUUAAACAUUAACCUUUCAAAAAUCUACCAUCUCUCCAAUAACGUUUUCACUGAAAGAUCAGAUCAUAUUGCAAAAAACUGGGGAAUAAAAUUGAAUUCAUGCCCAUCUCAUUCGGGUAUGCCGUUGGGGGUAAACCAAGCUCCAAACCUUUUUGGGACAACAUAAUAGAGAAGGUUUAGAAAAAAUUGAGUAACUGGAAAUACUCUCACAUUUCCAAAGGUGAGAGAACCACUCUAAUAAAGUCUUCCCUAUCUGUUUCCAAAGCCCCAUUACAGACAUGUGUAAAGUCAUUGAAAAGUAUUGAAGGAAUUUUCUUUGGAGAGGCAACUUUGAAAAUACUUGCAAUUCAAGCAACCACAAAAAAAAUUUAAAUCUAGAGGUCCAUCAUUGAGGCUAAAUAUUCAACUACUUGUCUGGAUGAUUUUUCCAUUAUUGCUAAAUAUAGCCGUCUAAAUGGUUCAUGCAUGAAGAUCCAUUUGCAAAGAUGUGAAAUGGUUUAACUCUCAUUUGGGCUGGAAAAUGAAAAAUUGCAUAAUGUUAUCUUUUUGGCACAGUAACUGGAGUUCAUUUGGUCCUCUUUACAAUUCUUUAACCAGAUUAUAUGCUCUUUCCACUCAGGAAAAUGGCUCCCUCAGAGAUAUGUGAAAUUUUGAACAAUGUGGGUGAGAUUUACACAAUAGAAGGCCCCUAAGAGAAAGAGAAGCUUCACAGUGAAGUAACAUUAGUGCAAACUUGCCCCCCGCUCCCAUUCCGAAAAACAAUCAAUUGGAUUGCUUCAUUUGGAAACCAAACAGAAAUAGUUCUUUUAUAGUUCAAUCUGCUCAAUUUGUCAGCCUUGCCUCUACCUUCUCUUCUCCUACCUUAGAUGGUCCCUUCUCCUACCAUUCAUGAACAUAUGGAAAUCAAAGAUUUUUAAAAAAUACAAAAUUUUCCUAUGGUUUGUUAUCCCACAAAGGAAUCUUUACAAAUGAGUCGAUUCAACACAUGCUAAAAAAUCUUUGUCUCAACCCAAAUUGUUGCAUCUUAUAUAAAAAUAGUAGUGAGACCACAUAUCACAUCUUCCUCCAUUGCUCUAUUGUCAAAUCUUUUUGGAACAAAGCAAAGGAUCUCACAGAAUCGGCAAAUAAUGUUGACAACCUUAUAGCUUUAUGCAAUCACAUCUGCACUAUACACGUUAAGUUUCAAAAGGGUUUGAUUCUUUUCAAACUUCUGAUGGACAUCACUUGGACAACUUGGUUGGACAGAAACAACAAACUCUUCAAUAAUAGUUAGGCCUCCUCCAUUAAUCUAUGGGAGAAUAAAUGCAACCUCACUAGUUUUUGGUUUACCAAACACAAGCUCUUCAAAACAUUAUUAUGCUUCUACAAUAGCUUUAAAUAUCAGUAUUUUUUGUUAGUUUAUGAGCUCUUACAUUAUGACUUAUCUUUAGCCUAUUUGUAACUGUUUUGAACUAUGUAUCCCUAUGUGCUUUAUUGAAUAUAUUUAUGAGAAUGAUGAUGACACUAAGAGGGUGUCCACCUAGUGGGGAUGCUUGGGUGCGCCUGCUGACCCAUCAAGUAUCAUUUUCUAAAAAUUGAAUGAGGAAUUGAAGUGUGUACUUAAUGAGCCAUUUGGGGCGAGGAGUAACUUAUGAUAAAUAGUUUAGGGAUUAUAAUCGUCUGAGUAUUAUAAUAGUGUGUGGAUUAUUAUAGUCUGCAUUUGGGUGUAGACUAUAAUAGUAUGUUUUCAUAGUCUACGUUUAAGGUGUAGACUAUUAUAGUCUGUGCCAUUAUAAGCUGUGUUUAAGAUGUAGACAGUUAUAAUAUGAGUUUUUCACUAUUUUUUUUGUGUACAUAUAUAUUGUACAUGAAAUACACAUUUUACUUCAAUCGAUUUUAUUAAAUUUGGUUAAUUAGGAUGCUCAUCUAAUAAAUUUAGCUUCAAACUAGAUUUUCCACCGCAUACAUGAAAUACACAUUUUUCUUACAUGAAUAUAGUAGUUUUGCAUUUUCAUUAUAAUUAUAGAAUACAACAAUAAACAUAAUCAAAUGGACCAUACUACUUUUCAAAUUACCAUUGAUAGAUUACAUUUCCUCCAAAAUAAACAUGGUCUUAAUUCAUUUACGUGGGUAAAAGAAAAAUGAGAUACGUAAAGAUGAAUACAUCUUGAGAUUUAUCUAAGCAUCGUUGUUUUUAAUUUUUUCACAAAAAAUUACUACAAAAUCAUACAUUGUAUCGAAACAUUUUUCCUUUUUUAUCACAUACUAGUUGUAAGCAUAUUUUUAACUUUUAAAAAAGUUUAAUUAAGUAUAAAUGUAACUUGAAAAAUAUUUUUUAAACAAAAUACCAUGGUCCUAGUUUUUAUAAAGAACACUAACAACUGAGAUAAUUUUCUAUAAUUUAGUUAGAGAACAAGACCUUUAUUAGUUAAAAUUAAAAUAUUUGGAUAAGAGUGAUAGGAACUAACUCAUAUGUUAAAGAAUUAUUUUAAUAUUUGGUUUCUCAAUUUUGAAAAGUAAAUAUAUUUUUUUUUGGUAAUAUUGUGAUAAAUCAUUUCAAAUAUAAUUUGGGUUUUAUACGUGUAGAUAUAGUUUUUUUUUCAAUGUAGGAUCCAUUUAAAUUUAAUUGAAAAUAAUUUUUUAAAUGAUUAAUGUUUGCUUUUUUGUAGGUUAGUUUUAGAAUCAUCAAAUUUAAAAAAGAAAUUUAAAUUUUAGAUUAAAAACAAUUAAAAUAUUUAUAAACUAUAAUAAAAUUUUAGAUUCUAUCAAUAAUAAAAACUGAUAGACUUCUAUUACUGGAUAUCAAUGCCACUAAUAUAAACAUAUCAAUGCAUGACUAUCAAUGUCUAUUACUGAUAGAAUCUGAAAAUUUUACUUGUAUAUAUUUUGUCAAAUUUGCUAUUUUUUACAAUUCCCCUAAAAAUAAUUGGAUGCAUGAAAGAUUAUUAGACGUAGAGCAGAAAUUUGGAGAUAGAAAAAACACCAUUUUAGAAAAAAAGUAAUUUGUGAUUUUAAUCGUUUCAAAACCACUCCCAAACAUAUCUUUUAACUUCUUUAUAAAUCCUUCUAAUAUAAACUAUAUAAUACUCUAAAAAAACUUACAAAGAGUGUUACACUUGCCUUAGUUCCCUUGUUUAGGGUGAUCCCAUCACAAAGUUGUUUAUAAAGCUUAGCAUAGGUAGGCCGUUUAUAAAGCUUAGCAUAGGUAGGCCAAUGCACCACGAUAGUUAGAGUUCUUGGCAAAAUAUAAGUCAGUCAAUGACCAUAACUCUCUUGUACUUGCGAGUUCUCUCUUGCUUUUGUCUCUAUGCAAACCAUACUUGAGGAGGUUAAUUUGGAUUAUUAAGAGAUCGGAGAUGUGGAUGAAGAUGAGAGUGGUGUGAGGAACACAAACACACAUAUAUAUAGGCUCUUGUUUCGUACAUUAAUGUUUAAAGAAUAGGACAUGGUAAUUAGCUAUUUUGAUGUCGCUUGUGUAAAGGUAUCUGAUACUUUUAAAAGUAACGAUUUAAUGUCAAGGUGAGUAUUACUAUUUAUACUGUAAAUUAAUUUUAAGAUUAGACCUUUUAAUUUUCUAUGGUCAAAAAAGGAAAAAAAUAAAGUAAAUGGUUUAAUUCUCUAUAUCUCUUUUUUUUCUUUUUCUCUUCCCCCUUAACUUUGUUUCACAUAUAUCUAUUUUUUUUAUACAUUAAUUUUUAUUUUUAUUUUUAAAUUAAAAUGUAUUAUAUGAAAACUAACUUCAUAACAAUCUAUAGAAUUAACAUAAUUAAUUAUUUUAACCAAUUCUGUAGUAUUUAAUAAAAUUAAGGUAUGAUUGAGUGAGGAAUUGAAGUGUGUACUCUUUUUAUUGGUUAGAAUAUAUUACAUUUUAGUAUUUUAUGGGAAAUUUUAAUCAGUAAAAUAAUCUAUAUAUAUCAAUUUAUACUAUGAGAAUUUACAAAAAUAACAAAAGAAAAAAUCUAGUAUUUACAAAAAUAAUAAAAGAAAAAAUUAAGAUAAUAGAGUCCAUGUCACUUACAUUUUCAAAAUUAUAAAAAUAGCAAAUUUAAAAGUAGAUUACUGUUUGAUUACCAUCGUAUUUGCCAAAUUUGCACUAUGCAAAAAAGAGGUGUUAUAGACUUUUUUUUAUAAUUUUUUUGUCAUCUAAUGCAAUUUCCUUUUACAUUAAUCCGCUUUUUUUCUUUUCAUUAUGACAUCUUUUCGCAAAUAUAAUUGUUGUUGCUCUUUAGUUUGUAUCUCACAUAUGGUACGAUUCCUCUUCUGAUCAAUUCUCUAGAAAAUCUCGCAUACCAAUCAGAACAACAAAUGAUUAAAUCGUCUAGUUGAACAAAAACUGCAAAACAGAAAACAUGUUAGUAGAUGACUGAGUCGCAGAUCACGCUCUCUUUAAGAUGUUUCGCGACUCUGCUCUCUUUGUGCAAACAAUAUGAUAGCCUCGUCGUCUCUAGGAUAAAACAGCCUUGAUCUUCAAUUGGUUUUGCAUAGAAACCAACUGAAAUUCACAAACACUCAAGAUGAUAUUGUGUUGCUUAGUACACAAAAAGUAAUUUUGUUUUGGGAGAGUAUGAAAUCAGGAGAAUUUUCUUUUUCUACGAUGUUUAGGUGAAGAAAGACUGUAUAUAUAGAAGUGGAGAGGGUUAAUGACCAAUUAAUCUAGAAAAUGAAAAUAAUUAUCAAUUAAUUCAGAAAAUAAAGGUUUUGGAAAGUCAAAAGUCAAAGAAAAACGUUUUAGUAAAAAUAUAUAUUAUUUUAUUCCUCCUCGCCCACUCGAGGAGGUCGUGUGGAGAUAUGAGCAUAUCUACAUUUGCCUAUCUCCUUUCUCCUACCAAGAGUCCAAACCAUUAAUGAAUCAAUGGGUAUAUGAAGCGACUUCCACAUUGCAAAUUAAGCAACAUGGGAAUGCAAUGUGGAAAUAAAAUAAUAAUAUAUUUCUUCUUUCACACAUUUUUCAUCCAAUAAUAACAAAGCAGAAAAAUAUUUACACCGUAUAGAAUAAUUUUUAAAAUAGAAAAAGCUCAUAAACCCACUAUGAAAAAUUCCAAAAAAGCUCGAUUAAUUGACAUCCAGCACACGUAAUAUAUUUGGCAAACGAUUGUUUAGAUUUGAUCAUUUUUCCUACAUGAUUGUUUAGAUUUGAUCGUUUUUCCAAAUCAAAAUGAUGUUUUUAUGUUUUUUUUUUUUUUUUGUACACGAUUGUUUGUGUUUAUCGUUUAAAUUUGGGUUGUCAAAUCUCAACGGUUUUUUUUCAAGAUUUUUUGGAACUCGUUUAUAUAAGGAAAAGACCGUUUAAAUUUGGUAAUGAUCGUUUAUAUUUGAAACACGAUCGUUUAUAUUUGACCGUUCCAAAUCUAAAUGAUUUUUUAAAGAUUCUUUGUACAUGAUCGUUAAGAUUUGACUAUCCAAUAUCUCAACAAUUUUUUUUCACGAUUUUUUUAUAUUUGGAAUAACUAAAUAUCAAUUUGAAAACUAAAAAAUUACACAAGAAGAGAAAAUGAUGAUGGAAAGAAAAAAAAAUUCGUAGAAGAGAAAGAAAAGAAAGACGAUGAAAAUGAAAAGGCAAACCUGAAAUAUUUUAAAUGAAUUUGUAUUACAUAAUGAACCAUCUUAAUUUAUUAAUGCCUAUACAUAAUAUAUAUUGUAUUACAUACCGUUUCAAAAGUAACGAUGUUUUCUUUCAACACAAAUAUCAAAUAUAGUCAUUAUCCACAAAAUAUAUUAACAUGACAUUUUCAAAUAUAGUAUAAUAUACCAAAAUAAUUAUAAAAUAUAACAAAAUUUUAGAGAUUGUUAACCAAUGUCUAUUAGUGUCUAUCAUUGAUAGAUAUAAUAUUUUGUAAAUAUUUUUAAUAAUUUUGUUAUUUACAAUAAUGUUUGUAGCUUGGUUCCUGUUUUUUCUUCGGAGAAAAGAAAAAUGAAAACAAAAUUGGUAUUUUAGUAUCAAGCAACUGUCAUUCCCUUAGGAAAAUACAUUUCAUAUAGUUUCACGAAGGAUAUACUUUAUCAAUAAAGUUAAGUCUCUGUUAACUUUAAUAUUAACUUUAACUUUAAUAUUUUUAGUUUCAUAUUAGAUUGAUACAAAGAGUUCAUAUAGUCAAUUCGAGUUGGAUGAAGAGCAUAUGGUGCUUGCUGAUUUUUUGGGUUGCCACAUUUGAUUUUAUAAUGAAUUAAAUAUAUUUUGGGUUAGAUAAGUUUUUGUUGAUACUGCAUAUAUAUAGGUGUGAUAUUUUGUUGAUAUAUUUGGAUAUAUCUAGAUGAAUUAGUUUAGUUGAUACUUUUGUUGAUACACCUAUAGUUAGGCUACACCUAUAGUUAGGCUGUUUUGUUAGAAAAGUUAGGCUAACUAUACAUGUAUGUAUAUGGUUCCAUUGAUAUUAUAUAUGUUAAAAUAUUAUUAAAAGUUCUUUGAUGGAAAUUAAAGUUAGUUCAUUCAAUUGUUCAACAAGUGUGAUCUCUUGUAUUACUUAUAUACAUUCGGCUACAAAACAGGUGCACGAAACAUUAUGAAGAUAUUUUAAAAUAUAUAAUUUUUUUUUCAAAGAAAAACUUAACUUGCAAAACAUGUCAAGAGUACAUGCAAAAAAUGUCAAGAAAUCACAUGUACUUAACGUUUAUAAACUAUCAAGUAUAACACUACUUGACGCUUAAAAUCUGUCAAACAAAAUCACUCUUAUUCUUGACACUAGAUUACUUGACGAUUAAAAAGUGUCAAGUAAUCUCAUAUACUUGACGUCUUUUACCUGUCAAGUAAACUGGUUUUACUUGACGAUUAAAACCAGUCAAAUAUACCUUCUUUAUUCUUGACACUGGAUUACUUAACACUUUUAAAAGCGUCAAGUAAACCUUUACUUGACAGUUUUUAAGCGUCAACUAAGGCCAAUUUUGUAGUAAUUGCUGUCUAGAUUCACACCACAAUCUAGGUUACUAGUUUCCAUUAUUUCAUUGUUUUUUAGUAUACCAUCCAAUGCUUCUUAACAUCAACAUUUUCUUUUGAGAUUCUAGAAUUAUUUGUCUAACUCUUGCGCUAUAUUUGUAAUAAAUAUAUAUAACAGAAAUAUAGAGCAAAAUAUAUAUAUAUAUAUAUAUAUAUAUAUAUAUAUAUAUAUAAAUAAAUAUACUAAGUAGAAGGUAGUUUUCUAUAUUAUAUAUAUAUCUUUAUUAAUUUUUUUUUUAUUGAACACUAUUACUGUAUUACAUAGUGAUAUUGUUGUUUAUAUUAGAAAACAAAGUAGAGUGUAGUAUACCUCUCUCAUUUAUUUAAACCAAACUACAAGUAGGGUAGUGGGAGUGGGAGUGAGAGAGAUGUAGUGAUUUAUAUUUUUAGCAUCCGCAACUGGAUUGUUUGGGUCGAAUUUCGAAACCUUUAAAUUUCAACCCCGUCUUCCAUUGACUACUGUGAUUGUACACUCUAAACUCAUACUCCUUAUCACUGUUACAAUCAUGUUUGUCGACCUUGAAUUCCCCAAUCUUGAUCGUAAACCAAACAUCUCGUGGCUUACAUUGUAGGCUUUCUUUGGUCUCAAUUUUUUUUCCAUCUGGGAGGGUGAUUACAAAGAUAACAGGUUCUUGCCAUCCAGAGGCACAAGGUGUAACGCAAACAUGACAUAAUACUUCAUAUAGAACUCCAGAUGAUAGUGCGUAUUGCUUCAACUUUCCACUUAUAUCCAACCAACAUACUUUUAUAAGCUGUGCCACGUCAAUUUU
rnacentral:lncRNA from 1 species